GUGUGUGUGUUUGUGUCCAUGUCUCUGUGCGUGUACAUGUGUGAUGUGCUAGUCAGAGAGGAAGGGAUAGAGAAUCCAUGUGGGCAAAUACAUGUGUGUAAGAGAGUCAAUGUGUGUGUGUGAACAAAACACAACCUGUCUG